rnacentral:rRNA from 1 species
UACGUAGGCAGCGAGCGUUGUUCGGAAUUACUGGGCGUAAAGAGUGUGUAGGCGGUGCUCUAAGUUCGGUGUGAAAUCUCCCGGCUUAACUGGGAGGGUGCGCCGGAAACUGGAGUGCUCGAGCGUGGGAGAGGAAAGCGGAAUCCUGGUGUAGCGGUGAAAUGCGUAGAUAUCAGGAGGAACACCUGCGGUGUAGACGGCUUUCUGGACCAUUGCUGACGCUGAGACACGAAAGCGUGGGUAGCAAACAGG